AGAGUUUGAUCCUGGCUCAGAUUGAACGCUGGCGGAAUGCUUUACACAUGCAAGUCGAGCGGCAGCGCGGGGCAACCUGGCGGCGAGCGGCGAACGGGUGAGUAAUGCAUCGGAACAUGUCCAUGUCGUGGGGGAUAGCCCGGCGAAAGCCGGAUUAAUACCGCAUAAGCCCGAGAGGGGAAAGCAGGGGACCGCAAGGCCUUGCGCGAUUGGGUUGGCCGAUGUCCGAUUAGCUUGUUGGUGAGGUAAAGGCUUACCAAGGCGAUGAUCGGUAGCUGGUCUGAGAGGAUGAUCAGCCACACUGGGACUGAGACACGGCCCAGACUCCUACGGGAGGCAGCAGUGGGGAAUUUUGGACAAUGGGGGCAACCCUGUCCAGCCAUUCCGCGUGAGUGAAGAAGGCCUUCAGUUCAAAGCUCUUUUGUCCGGAGCGAAACGGUGGCGGUGAAUAUCCGCCACUACUGACGGUACCG
rnacentral:rRNA from 1 species